AACGCACGAGACCUGCGGACCUGCGGAAGGAUCAUUAUUAGAAAUGGCGUUUGCCAUCACAUCCGACCCGAGUGAAACCUUGUCUAAGGGACUAGCUCGACAGUCGGGGGAAUCAUGUCCGUUGUCGACAUCGAUGACCCACUUUGAUAAAACACCAGAUCACAAUGUGUAGCCUGACACGGCGCUAACAAAAAGUUAAAUAAUAACUUUUAGCAAUGGAUCUCUAGAUCGGAAGAGCAC
rnacentral:misc_RNA from 1 species